CAGUGAACAUGCAUGUCAUGGACAGGGGCUGCUUUGGGCCACUGCACAUCUCAGGAGACUUCAUUAAUUAUUCAACCCUUUGACUCCCAGAGAGACAAGCCCGUACUCUGUAUGUGGCCGGUAACCCCAGAAAAAGACCAUUAGGCAGGCCUACAGGUUACCGGAAUAUAUGCAGAAUAGAGAUGAUGCGUUGCUAGGAAGAUUCGGAGCAUUUAAUUACAAGAACAUCGAAAGCACUGACGCUAAUUUUGGAGGGAAGGCUGAAAGAAGCGUGCAUUGUAGGACUGUGUGUGCAGAUGCAACCAGAUGUGCCUCUGGGGAGGAACAGGCGGUCAGCUCAUGUUGAUUUUAUAAGGGUUUCUGCACACGUUGGCACCAGGACUGAAUUUACUGAGGCAGAAAGAGUCUCAAGUCUCUCUCGUUCCAGGCUGAGAAUCAAUGCCACAUUGAUUUUCCUAUCAAUGGACAUUAUCAUAGAUCAGGCAUCUGCUAGCACUGGCCUCAAUCCACGCGCCGCCUGUUGCCACGGGGACAGAGAGAUUUCAUCACUCCUCGCUCUCUGACAGACAGACAGACACAGAGAGAGAUGGCUAAAAAGCAAGGAUGGCAGGGAAAUGCAUGCACACACGCAGGGUAGAGGAUCAAUACCUGAAGUGCAGAGGAUAUUGAGUCAGAGGGGAUGUUGGAUUUGACUACCGGAGGCAAAAAAAAGUGCAGCUUUUGUCACCAAGCAAGCAGGUUUCAGAGAUCUCCUGGAGUUUGCACAUAAAAUGCACCAAAACCAUGAACAGGUUUCCCUGUUUAUGUGACGGUUCCAUGGCAGAAAAAUAUCUGGCAACAUAAUAUGAUUAGCUAAAAAAACACAUGUACAAACUCACUCUAAGAGCUUUUGCAUAUAUUCAUGAACAUACAUAAUUAUCGAAUACCAACAUCUGAGAGAUAUAAGCUGUAGAUUGAUCCUUUGCGAAGACACUGACAACACAUUCAUAGGAAAAAGUCAAAUACAAAAAGCAGCUCAUAUCUGCAAAAAGCCGCUUGAUGUAGGUGUAGGUGUUGAAGCAAAUAUGGUUAGAGAAGAUAAUUUCCUCAUAUUUGUGUAUGUGAAUGUUUGAUUUCGUCUAUCCCCAGUGGAAGCUGUGAAGCCUGAGGCCUAAUGACCAUUUCAGAGCUCUCUCGCUUAAACAUGACAUCCACUUUCCUCUGUUUCACACCUCGUGCUUGAAUUUGUGCAGUAUGACUCAUGGACAUACAAGUGACACUUUGCGGAUUGUGUGGACUGGGUUCAAGAAAACAGACAGAAGCUCUGGACACUGGAGGCUGUGUAGUUAACCCAUGGAGGGAAUGCUACAGGAUUAGUCCAGUGAAGGAGGAGGGGAAGCAGGGGAACCUUUCCACCACUGCUGCACCACUACACAAAAUACAUGUGGUGCAUGCUCAAACAUUUGCUUCAUACCUAAAAAUAAGUAUUUGUUUUAAAUAGAGUGCUGCAGUGAUGAUGUAUUUUUGAAGCAUCACCCUGAUUCCCUCAACAGAAAACCAACAGAAUUUUUCAUGAGCUUUCGAUUAUUGCAGAAAAUAAGGUCUGUGACUAAAAAAGUUUUAUAAAUUACGCAAUUUGUUCACGAUUGUUUUUUUAAGCCUAAAUACAAUCACCAGAAGUAAAGAAGCUAAAAGUAGGCAUCACCAAUUUAGAUGAUGAUUUAGACAACUCUUUAUUUAAAAUACGCUUUCCCUUAAAGUUUGAGUUAAGA